rnacentral:tRNA from 1 species
AUGUUGGUAGUUCAGUGGUAGAAUUCUCAUCUUCCAUGUGGGAAAUCCAGGUUCAAUUCCCAGUCAAUGUA